GACGAACGCUGGCGGCGUGCUUAACACAUGCAAGUCGAACGGUGAAGCGCCUUCCUUUUUGGUGGGUGUGGAUGAGUGGCGAACGGGUGAGUAACACGUGAGUAACCUGCCCCCUUCUUCUGGAUAACCGCAUGAAAGUGUGGCUAAUACGGGAUAUUCUGGGUCUGUCGCAUGAUGGGUCUGGGAAAGAUAUUGUUUCGGUGGGGGAUGGGCUCGCGGCCUAUCAGCUUGUUGGUGGGGUGAUGGCCUACCAAGGCGGUGACGGGUAGCCGGCCUGAGAGGGUGGACGGUCACACUGGGACUGAGACACGGCCCAGACUCCUACGGGAGGCAGCAGUGGGGAAUAUUGCACAAUGGGCGCAAGCCUGAUGCAGCGACGCCGCGUGAGGGAUGGAGGACUUCGGGUUGUGAACCUCUUUCGCCAGUGAAGCAGGCCUGCCUCGUUUGUGGGUGGGUUGACGGUAGCUGGAGAAGAAGCGCCGGCUAACUACGUG
rnacentral:rRNA from 1 species